AAAGUCGUAACAAGGUUUCCGUAGGUGAACCUGCGGAAGGAUCAUUAACGAAUCCAAUCUUACCUGCCUUAGCGGUUUCACUUGAUGCUGUUUUUCGGGGUCGGCCGGGUUGCGCCCUCACGGGUGGAGCUCGACCGUUAAAUCGUCAGUGGGUACGGUGGACUUCGGUCUGCUAGGCGGGCCCCGAAUUAGUUUUUUACCCACGAGUUCAAACCUCAAUGCCUUAACGUAUCGAUUCCUCGGUCGGGCUCGUCCCGAACGAGAGUUGCCUAAAAGCGAACGACUUUAAACGGUGGAUCUCUUGGCUCGUGCAUCGACGAAGAACGCAGCAAACUGCGAUAAGUAAUGUGAAUUGCAGAAUUUAGUGAAUCAUCGAAUCUUUGAACGCAAAUGGCGCUCUUGGGCAUUCCCAGGAGCACGUCUGUCUGAGCGUCGUUUCUCACAUCCCAUCUCAAAGAGAUGGGGCCAUGAGGUGUCCCUUUGCUGACGAAGCGAACGGUCCCUUGAAGUAUAGCGAUCCCGAGUUGCGCGGAAGCCCCUUCGUGGCCUGCGCUACUCGGUGUGGUAGCGAUAUCUCACCGAGCAACCGAGCUUCGCAGGAUGUCUAAAACCUUCUCAGUGGGACGACUGGAAAGGGUUCGAUUCUCCGGAGUCGUUCGACCAAUCAAGACCUCAGAUCAGGCGAGACUACCCGCUGAAUUUAAGCAUAUCAAU
rnacentral:rRNA from 1 species